rfam:Salmo salar isolate Sally breed double haploid chromosome ssa29, whole genome shotgun sequence.
UUUUUUUUAAAGUUUAAGUCGCUCUGGAUAAGAGCGUCUGCUAAAUGACUAAAA